GUAGGUGGCAAGCGUUGUCCGGAAUUAUUGGGCGUAAAGCGCGCGCAGGCGGUUCUUUAAGUCUGAUGUGAAAGCCCACGGGCUCAACCGUGGAGGGUCAUUGGAAACUGGAGAACUUGAGUACAGAAGAGGAAAGCGGAAUUCCACGUGUAGCGGUGAAAUGCGUAGAGAUGUGGAGGAACACCAGUGGCGAAGACGGCUUUCUGGUCUGUAACUGACGCUGAGGCGCGAAAGCGUGGGGAGCAAACAGGAUUAGAUACCCUGGUAGUCCACGCCGUAAACGAUGAGUGCUAAGUGUUAGGGGGUUUCCGCCCCUUAGUGCUGCAGCUAACGCAUUAAGCACUCCGCCUGGGGAGUACGGCCGCAAAGGCUG
rnacentral:rRNA from 1 species